GCCUUGUGAGCGCAGUAGGUAGCGCAUUAGACUCAUAAUCUGAAGGUCGUGAGUUUGAUCCUCCCACAGGGCA